UGUGAAGCAGCUGGGGCCACAACUAUAAAUACUGAUGUCAUCAGGAUAAAGGGUACUUAAAGCCUCUAAUGAAAUCACCAAAGAAGUGAAUAAAGAAUGAAAUAAAAUGGAAACAAAGACUGAGAACUGGGGAAUUCCAGUGUACAGUUGCUAUGGAGACGAGAAUGGAGACAGAGAAGGAAGGGUCACAGUGAAGUGGGAGGAAUACUGGGAGAGCUAAGGGCAGGAAGUGCUGGCAGGGAAGAAAGAGUUGUGUCAAGUAUGUUAGACAGGCCAAGCAAGUGCAACACUGAAGAUCGCACCUUGGAUAACCAGCAGGAGUGUCAGUGAUGACCUUUUCAGGAACAUUUUGAUGGAGCAGUGGGAGUGAAAGUCUAAUGAGUGGGUUUAAGAGAAAAUGAGAGAGGACAAAUUAUAAAAGACAAACACAGAUAAUAACUCUUUGGAGGAAGUGUGCUAUAAAUAGUAGAAACAGGGCAGUAACUGGAAGGGGAAGAUUUUUUUUAGGAUGGGAGGAAUAACAGCAUGCUUUAUGUAGUCAGAAGGAUCUGGCAGAGUGUGAGCAGAAUGAGGAAGCAGAAGAGAGUGGAUAGGUGCUAGGACAACAUUCCUGAGUAGGUAAGAGGGCAUGAAAUCUGGCAUAGAAGUAGAAGAGGUUGACCUAGAUAGAAGUACACACAAUCCGGAGGAACAGGUGGGAAGGCAGAAUGUAAGAGUGCAUGUGCAGGUAGGUGGGUGGAAGUGAGGGUAGAAGUUCUGAACUGAUAGUUGUUAUUUCUCAAUAACAUAGGAUGAUUGCCUGGCAGCAGGAAGGGCCCAUGAGGGCAUGUCCAUACAUUUAAAGUGAUACUAGACCUUCUUUAGUCAUACAUAGUUAGCUUUUUUCAUAUCAGUUGGUGACAAUGGAAAGCAGGUCAGACCAUGUAGGGCAUUGCAGGUCACUGUAAGGACUGCAUAUAGGCCAGAAAUGGGAUGAAGUUUUGUCUUAACAAGGAAGGGUUGAAUUUUUGCCAAAUGAGUAAAAUGAAAAUAAUAUAAAGUUGAGUAAUAUUAAGGAGAAAGUGAGUUCAAGGCAUAUUUAUGGGUAGGGUAAGGGUUGUUAGAGUUAGGGUACUAUAAUCAAAUUGAGGUCAAAGUGUGGAAGUCUUGUAAUUGAGAUUAUAGAGGUGUUGCAUUUUUUGGUAAUAACAAGGUCAAACUUGGGUACCAUAAUCACAUAGAAGGCUUAUUUAACAGAGAUUGCUGGGCCAUAUCCCAGAUUUCCUGGUUCAGCAGGGCUGAGGUGAGGAUGAGAGUUUUAAUUUUUAGUAAUUUCUUCAGUGAUAGCAAAAUGGAACUUUGAGAACCACUGGUCUGUUGUAUGAGCAUGGUGAGGAAAUGGCUGAGAUAGGUUGAAGAACUUGGUCAUUAGGAUAAAUGGGUUCAAGGAUCUAAGAAACCAGAAUAUUGGAAGAAUCAUCUAUUUGGACAUAGGAAACACCAAAGAAGGAAUAAUUGUUGGCCCAGGAGUUAGAGCCAUUGAGAAAUGAGAGAUGGCUGCAACAGGGAGGGGAGACAGGUGGGAUAGUCUGACAACCUGAGAUUCAAAUUUGGAAGCUUUAAUGAAGGAAGAAGGAGCUCCUGGUCUCCGUGGAAGAUUAUACAGGGUCCUCAAGUGUCAAAGAAUAUCACAAAAUCCUUCCAGUGAAGAAACACAAGCAAGUGCCACAGUUUUUGCCAUGUGCUCUUUAAUCUAAAAAGUCCAGUGAAGAAUCCUGUGUGGCAGGUCUGCUGGAGUUUGCUGGAGGUCCACUCCAGA
rnacentral:lncRNA from 1 species